CCUCUUCGCUGAAUACAGCUCACGGUAAGUACUGGUUCACACAGUUCGUUCUCUGGGUGCUCACUCUCUUUCUCUUUCUCCACAGGCAACGGCUGGGACACACAGGCACAGUUAGUUCAGCUUGGUUUUGCUCUCACCUCUUCGCUGAUUACAGCUCACAGUAAGUACUGGUUCACACAGUUCGUUCCUUGGGUGCUCACUCGCUUUCUCUUUCUCCACAGGCAACGGCUGGGACACACAGGCACAGUUAGUUCAGCUUGGUUUUGCUCUCACCUCUUCGCUGAUUACAGCUCACAGUAAGUACUGGUUCACACAGUUCGUUCCUUGGGUGCUCACUCGCUUUCUCUUUCUCCACAGGCAGCGGCGUAAGUACAGGUUUCCUCGAUCUCUCCUCGUGUUACCCACUCUCUCUCCUUUUCUCUCCACAGGUAUCAACUUGGGCACAAUAGCACAGUUAGUUUGCUUUGAAUGGCUCUCACCUCUGGGCUGGACACAGCGUACUGUAAGUACAGGGUUCGCUCUGUUUCUCCUUGUGUUACUCACUCUCUCUUUCCUUUCCUCUCCACAGGUAUCAACUUGGACGCAAAGCACAGUUACUCUGCUUUGGAUGGCUUUCACCUCUGGGCUGGACACAGCGUACUGUGCUAUCUCCGGAGAUCUGAAGCACGCUCACAACAUAUACUAUACUGAACUAGGCUAGGACCAGCAGUCUCCUUGUCCUCCCGCGACGAAGUGCGUGAAGGCGGGGGUUUAUCUGACAGGAC
ensembl:lncRNA